rnacentral:rRNA from 1 species
AGAGUUUGAUUAUGGCUCAGGAUGAACGCUAGCUACAGGCCUAACACAUGCAAGUCGAGGGGCAGCAUGGUCGAAGCUUGCUUUGACUGAUGGCGACCGGCGAAUGGGUGAGUCACGCGUGUCCAACCUGCCCUGUGCCCGGGGAUAGCCCUUGGAAAUGAGGAUUAACACCCGAUACGUGGCGCUUCCGCAUGGCGGCGCCAUGAAACCGACACAGGAUGGGGACGCGUCGGAUUAGCUUGACGGCGGGGCGACGGCCACCGUGGCGACGAUCCGCAGGGGUUCUGAGAGGAAGGUCCCCCACACUGGCACUGAGACACGGGCCAGACUCCUACGGGAGGCAGCAGGGAGGAAUAUUGGUCAAUGGCCGAGAGGCUGAACCAGCCAAGUAGCGUGCAGGAUGACGGCCCUACGGGUUGUAAACUGCUUUUGCGGGAGGAUAAAGUGCACUACGUGUAGUGCUUUGCAGGUAUCCCGUGAAUAAGGACCGGCUAAUUCCGUGCCAGCCGCCGC